rnacentral:rRNA from 1 species
UAAUACGUAGGUGGCAAGCGUUGUCCGGAAUUAUUGGGCGUAAAGCGCGCGCAGGCGGCUUCUUAAGUCUGAUGUGAAAUCUUGCGGCUCAACCGCAAGCGGUCAUUGGAAACUGGGAGGCUUGAGUGCAGAAGAGGAGAGUGGAAUUCCACGUGUAGCGGUGAAAUGCGUAGAGAUGUGGAGGAACACCAGUGGCGAAGGCGGCUCUCUGGUCUGUAACUGACGCUGAGGCGCGAAAGCGUGGGGAGCAAACAGGAUUAGAUACCCUGGUAGUCCACGCCGUAAACGAUGAGUGCUAAGUGUUAGAGGGUUUCCGCCCUUUAGUGCUGCAGCUAACGCGUUAAGCACUCCGCCUGGGGAGUACGGCCGCAAGGCUGAA